AACACAACCUCACCUGACAGCCCCUCUCAUGAACUGAAAACUUUGUAAUGAAACACAAAUUAGAAUCUCACAGAAAUAACACUUUCAAAAAGGAACACAUUAACAAAAUGGGCUGCAACACGAUCCCAGUAAAACAUAAACACAAGAUCCACCAAUUCGCCUUCACAUAAAAACCUCGAAAUGAAGCGACUGAAGAUAUGAAGUGGAUUUAACCCGCAGUGCAGGACGUCCUCUUUAAUGGAGGCCCAAGCCAUGCGUGGGGUGGUGAAGCUGGCGGCCCAGUCCCCUGUAGAGGACACAACAAUAGCUCCUCCGCAUCCCUUCACUCUCUCUCCCAUGUACUGAAGUGAGGCUUCAGCGGCGGCUGUGGCUGAUUUCCCUGCAUUUCACAAAGGAAUCACUCAAGUAUGUGAUACUGUCAGCAAAGGUAGCAGUAAGUUUAUCUGGGUGCCAUGUAUUUUUACUGUGCUUCCUCAGAAGCAUUUCCGGUCAGUGUUGCGCAAUGUGAAUUGCAUAAAUAAGAUGAUAUGGAUUCUAAAAUCUUUAAGGUUAAAUAAGGCUGCAAAACAUCUAUUCAUAUGACAAGGCAACACAUUUUCACCCCUUAAUACGUUUAUUUAGCAAGGAUGCAUUAAAUUGCUCAAAAGUGAUAGAAUUAUUGUCAUUUUAUUACCAAUAAUCCAGUUUCCACAAAAAUAUUAAAAAGCACAACACUGGUAAUAAGAAAUGUUUCGUAAAGAUGCUCAAAAUUCAGCUUUGCUCUCACAACUCAUCUUUUAAAUCAUUUCAACAUAGAAAACAGGUAGGCCUAUUUAAAAUUGUAAUAAUAUUUGAAGACAUCACUGUUUUAAUCUAUUUUUGAUUGGUGAGCAUCAAAAACAAAACAACCAGCCCCAAACUUUUAAAAAGUAGUGUACAUAGGUUCAUUCAGCUUCACAACUUUUUCUAUUGCGCUUGUAUUUUUCUAGUAUUUUCCAGCACAACAAAAAAAAAAAAGCAUUUGAUCUCUGUGUGCCGUAUGAUGAAAUGCUGCACCGACAGUGUAUGUGUCCUUAGUGACCCUUUCCAGGUCACACAGUGAACAAUAUAUGUUGCUCUCAUAGUUUUCUCAUUCCAUCAGUCUUGGUAUUGCAGUCUUAUUAGCCCAACAUAGAAAACAACCAGACAAACACUGCAACAAUAUUACAUUUUUCCACUUUUUAAUAGCAAUAGAUUUGCAUUGUGAGUUAGCUUUUUUUGUAUGUGGACAUACUGUGUUUAGAUGUGAUGUCUAUUUUUAAUUCUCUUUCAUCCAUCUCUUUGUGUCCUGUUUCUUGUUCUUCUGAGCAGUGAAUUCAUUUUCUGGCUUUAACUGGGGACACAUGGGCCUCUAGCCAACUAUUAAAGCUUUUUAUGCUCAU